rnacentral:rRNA from 1 species
GACAGAGGGUGCAAACGUUGUUCGGAAUUACUGGGCGUAAAGCGCGUGUAGGCGGCUUGGCAAGUCGGGUGUGAAAGCCCUGGGCUCAACCUAGGAAGUGCACUCGAAACUGCCUCGCUGGAGUGCCGGAGAGGAAAGCGGAAGUUCUCGGUGUAGAGGUGAAAUUCGUAGAUAUCGAGAGGAACACCGGUGGCGAAGGCGGACUU